GCCUGGGUGGCUCAGUCAGUUGAGCAUCCGACUUCGACUCAGGUCAUGAUCUCAUGGUUCAUGGGUUUGAGCCCCAUGUCGGGCU
rnacentral:tRNA from 1 species